CGCUAUCACUCCUACGGGAGGCAGCAGUGGGGAAUAUUGCACAAUGGGCGCAAGCCUGAUGCAGCCAUGCCGCGUGUAUGAGGAAGGCCUUCGGGUUGUAAAGUACUUUCAGCAGUGAGGAAGGCGGGUACGUUAAUAGCGUGCUUGUUUGACGUUAGCUGCAGAAGAAGCACCGGCUAACUCCGUGCCAGCAGCCGCGGUAAUACGGAGGGUGCGAGCGUUAAUCGGAAUUACUGGGUGUAAAGCGCAUGCAGGCGGCCUGUUAAGUCAGAUGUGAAAGCCCGGGGCUUAACCUCGGAAUUGCAUUUGAAACUGGCAGGCUAGAGUCUUGUAGAGGGGGUAGAAUUUCAGGUGUAGCGGUGAAAUGCGUAGAGAUCUGAAGGAAUACCAGUGGCGAAGGCGGCCCCCUGGACAAAGACUGACGCUCAGAUGCGAAAGCGUGGGGAGCAAACAGGAUUAGAUACCCUGGUAG
rnacentral:rRNA from 1 species